GGGUGAGUAAUGUCUGGGAAACUGCCUGAUGGAGGGGGAUAACUACUGGAAACGGUAGCUAAUACCGCAUAACGUCGCAAGACCAAAGAGGGGGACCUUCGGGCCUCUUGCCAUCGGAUGUGCCCAGAUGGGAUUAGCUAGUAGGUGGGGUAACGGCUCACCUAGGCGACGAUCCCUAGCUGGUCUGAGAGGAUGACCAGCCACACUGGAACUGAGACACGGUCCAGACUCCUACGGGAGGCAGCAGUGGGGAAUAUUGCACAAUGGGCGCAAGCCUGAUGCAGCCAUGCCGCGUGUAUGAAGAAGGCCUUCGGGUUGUAAAGUACCUUUCAGCGGGGAGGAAGGGAGUAAAGUUAAUACCUUUGCUCAUUGACGUUACCCGCAGAAGAAGCACCGGCUAACUCCGUGCCAGCAGCCGCGGUAAUACGGAGGGUGCAAGCGUUAAUCGGAAUUACUGGGCGUAAAGCGCACGCAGGCGGUUUGUUAAGUCAGAUGUGAAAUCCCCGGGCUCAACCUGGGAACUGCAUCUGAUACUGGCAAGCUUGAGUCUCGUAGAGGGGGGUAGAAUUCCAGGUGUAGCGGUGAAAUGCGUAGAGAUCUGGAGGAAUACCGGUGGCGAA
rnacentral:rRNA from 1 species